GAUGGCAGCCGCAGGGUCUGACUCUGGAAUGAGCAGAUGCAGAGGGACAAGGUGCAUGCCACAGAGCGACGGAGGAGGGGAGCGGAGCAGCAUAAGAAGGUGUGAAGCAAGGAGUGAAGCGGGCCAUCGGUACCGGAGGUGUCUCGGCAAGGCGGUACGCAUGCUUUGAUGUGGCAAGCUCUUGAUGACAGAGUGGGGUGGUCGAGCGGCCAAGGUGGCGCACGCAGCCUCAGAGGGGCGAAUUCGCAGGCCGAUGAGCAGUCUGAGAAGGCGCUGUGCGGGCCACCUUUGGAAUGGGAUGAGCAUUUGAGGUACCAUGAGUGAUGAUGGCCGCGGGGUCUGACUCUGGAAUGAGCAGAUGAUGAAGAGGAACCUGGCGACUGCCGGA